GUCUUUUAAUUGGAGUCUAGAAUGAAUGGUUGGAUGAGGGGUGUACUUUCUUUAUUUUAAGUGUAGAAUUUGAUUUUUAUGUUAAAAAGCAUAGAUAAUAUUAUAGGACGAGAAGACCCUAUAGAACUUUAUUAUAUAAGUUUUUAUAACUAUUUUUAGUAUAUUAUUAUAUAUUUUAUCUUUUAUAUAAUUUGAUUGGGGUGAUGAAAAAAAACUUAUAACUUUUUUUAUUUAUAACGAAUUAUGCGUGUAUAUUUGAUCCUUUUUUAAGGAAAAAAAGACUAAGUUACCUUAGGGAUAACAGCGUUAUUUUAUCAUAGAGUUCAUAUCGAUGAUAGAGUUUGCGACCUCGAUGUUGGAUUAAAAUAAGUGGCAGGAGUAGAUUAUUGCUUACUAGGUCUGUUCGACGCUAUAAAUUUUUACA
rnacentral:rRNA from 1 species